CACCUGAAUUUCCCUCCGGGGAUUAAUAAAGAUUCAUCUUAUCUUAUCUUAACUUCAUCUAGAGACUAUUAUUAGCACAAAACCAUCUCAUUACCAAGAAACCUGCUGUGUUCAACGUGAUGCUUCUGACAUCAGCAUACCAGCAGACACGCAAUCGUGCGUCGUGCUUCUAUUUUUUGCCCUUAAAAAAAAGCUAUUUUUGAAACAGGGGGUUGCAUCGACGUGCUUUAAGACUCUGGCUGACAGGGAAGACAUUAUAAGUAUAGCUACAGAGACCUGAAAGCUUGAAGUACUUUCAUGUUCCUCCUUCAGAGCUGCUCCCAUCGCGUCAAUGCGCAAUUGCGCAGCCAGGAAACCCUGAGCUGCAUGAGCCCAGAGGCAAAAAGGGGGGCUUGGGAACUACUGCAGAGAAAAAAUCCUCCUGCUGUGAUCCCAUGAAAAGGACUUCCAAAUGUCUUCAUUAUAAUCAGACGAGCAUCCUCUCUCUAGGAAUUCCCUGCGACUUAAUAGCUGAAGCUGCUGUUGGAUGGGCUAGUAUUGACAUUUGGAGUCCGGUGGAGUGAAAGGAAAGCAUGACAAGCAUGCAUUGGACUCAUAUAUGUUGUGACUGCAACUCACGAUGAUAGCUCGCAUCAUCAGGAGGACUGUGGAUGCACUCAUCAUCAAAAGUCUGGAUAUUUUUAGAGGAAGCGAUCAUGGACGCAUCGGACGUAGUUGCAUCCGUUUUGGUGUUGGGCAUCAUCAUUGUGUCGCUGCUGUCCAACGUGGUGGUGCUGAUCUGCUUUCUGUACAACCCGGAGAUCCGCAGACAGGUACCCGGUCUGUUUAUCCUCAACUUGACGCUUUGCAACCUGUUGCUGAGCGUGUCCAACAUGCCUCUAACUCUGGUCGGACUCAUCACCACCAUGGGCCACCCAGGAGGAGGAUUGUGCCAGAUCGUGGGUUUCCUGGACACUUUUCUCACCACUAACGCGAUGCUCAGCAUGGCAGCUCUCAGCAUCGACAGAUGGGUGGCUGUGGUGUUCCCCCUGAGCUACCACUCGAGGAUCCGGCACCGGGACGCGGUGAUGGCGCUGAUGUAUACCUGGAUCCACUCGCUCUGCUUCUCCACGGUGGCCACCUGGCGCUCCUGGGUCGGCUACCAUCACCUUUACGCAUCGUGCACAUUGUGUAAUGGCAGGGCGAAGGGAGCUGGGAUGCAGUUCGUGGUCUUCAACGUGGCUCUGCACUCUCUCACUUUCCUCCUCACGCUGGUCGUGUUGUGCGUAACGUACUUGAAAGUGCUGAAAGUUGCGAGGUUUCACUGUAAGCGCAUCGACGUGAUCACCAUGCAGACGCUGGUGCUGCUCGUGGAUAUUCACCCCAGUGUGCGGCAGAAAUGCUUGGAUGAGCAGAAGCGGAGGAGGCAGAGGGCCACCAAGAAGAUCAGCACUUUCAUCGGCACAUUCGUGGUGUGCUUCAGCCCUUAUGUCAUUACAAGAAUUGUAGAGCUCUUCUCCCCAUGGCCCAUAAGCCCUCACUGGGGUGUGCUGUCCAAAUGUUUGGCCUACAGCAAGGCAGCCAGCGACCCGUUUGUCUACUCGCUGCUGCGCAACCAGUACAGGAAGACCUGCAACCUCCUGGCGAACAAAGUCCUCAAGAGGAGUCCACUCAACUCCUCAUCCCUCAGGAUGGAGAACGGUGCUGGGAGGAGCAGCACCUCCAACACAACCAACAAUGUGCAACCAGCUGCCAACAAGCCACAGUGAAGGUCAUCACUUUAAGAGACAAUUAGGGUACUUGACCGUUACUUUUACUGUUUCUUUGAGGUUAACGUGACAGUAGAUUGAGCUCUGUGUGAUUCGACUGUUAUCAAGCCAUUAAAUAGGCAUUAUCAGUCGCUAUAAGCACCAUAGAUGUGUCAUAAGGGGCCUACUACGCCUACUAUGUUGUGAAAGUGAAAGCGAAACUUAAAAGCAACACGUUCAUGUUGUAAAACUUAAUGAAAUGUCACCUUUUGAACACGAACAAAAAGGCUUCUUUAGGUUUAGGCAACAAAACUACAACUACUUUAGGUUUAGGCAAAAAAAAAAAACUUUUUAGGUUUGGGCAACAAAAC